AACUCUUCCAAAAUGAGUGACAGCAAUCCAGUAAACCAGGAAGUUGAGCAGUUUAACAAACAGAAGUUAAGGAAGACUGACACACAAGAGAAACAGCAUAGGCCAACCAAGGAGGAAAUUGAAGAGGAGAAGAAAGCCAUGAAAGAGGAGAAGUAACAGAAACACUUCUACCAUGGUUCCUCUUUCUCACUCCUGCCCUGUUGACCUACUCCUACACCAAUUACGAAUCCAGUCUGUCAUCUCUGCUCCUGCCACUGUUUUCUUUACCACCAUUUACGUUUGAUCAGAAAUGGGGUUUGGGUUAACACUAUGGUGCAAGCUCUGUCUGCAGUCUUAAAUAAAUGAAUUCAAUUGAUAUAUUUCAAUAUGCUUUUUCAAUGCAGUUUAGAGAGUUCUGACAGGAACAGCAAAGUCAAAAAGUAAUUGUAUUUAUGAUAAUCAAAGAUACAGCAAUGUUAAGAAUACAAUAAUGGCGCCACUAAGGACAUGGUCUGAAAAGUAACACAUAAAAUGAUUCUUCUUUUAAUAAAAAUCAAUGUGUCAAAAUUUUUUCUUUUUUUGUUCCCCCUCAAAAUACAUUUUGCUAAACCAUCUUAUUUAAGCAUAUAUGAACAGAUUUUAUCACAGGACUGUCCAAGACGGCCAAGAUGUGCAAUAACUUUGAAUCAUAAAAGACAAUCCUGCUGGUACUUGAAUUUUCCUAAGUGUCUAAUUUAAAAAAUGUUUUAUAUAAAUUACACAAAAGACAAAGUAGAUAUGAACAUUUUUACCUAUUUCGUCCAUAAGCGGUCAUAUUGACCGCACAGAAUUUCAUGGUAUUGAAUAUUGAAUGUCGCAAUUAUAAUUGCUCAGCAACUACUACUGUCUGUCAAGUCACGAUCGGUCUCGGAUUAUACAGAGAUCUGUAUUUGUACCAUUGUGUAUAUAUCAAAGUUUAGAGUAAGGAGACCAAAGUCUAAAAUAAAUGAGCGAAGGAAGAGAACGAUGACAGCUGCCAUGGCGUUGGAGAUGCUUCAAAACUUGGACAGCGACGAUUCUGAUGGAGGGGAUCUGUCAGAGGUGGAAAGUGACUGCAACCUUUCCUGGGUAAAUGAAAAUAGGGCUUCAUCCUCAGACAGUCAGAGUCCGUGCCAAAGAAAAGGAAUUGACCUUCAUUGGAUACUGCCAGGUCUUCCCGAACCAGUACAUGCCCUGAACCAAAUGUGUCCAAUCUGCCCACGAGUCAUCUCGGCUGGAGGCAGCUGUGGAGAAGGGGAAGGAUGGGACCGUAUGGACAGUCCUUCAGUCAUCUUAGCAUCCAGGGAGAAGGCAAAGUCAGAAUGUCCUGACUGAAGCUGCUGGCCCCACAGCGUACGCAAAGUGCAAUAUUGAGGAUGUGCUCAGAACAUUUUUGUGUGUGAUGUCAUGUGAUGGCAUAUCAGAACAUCAGGGACGAUUUUUUUGUUACAAAUGUUAAAAUAAAAUGUUUAACUAUCGUGUAUAAUACUUAAAAUUUUUGUGUUCGUGUUCUGAGUUAUGUUGAAUUCUAUCGAGAAAAAAAUGCAAUAAUUACGAUUCAUGAUGCUAUAAAUGUAUAAUUAAACUUGUUAAAAUAUACAUCUUGGUGUUAUUUAGUUUUUUUUUAGAUAUAACACAAUGAAUGAAUUAAUGUUUAACUGGGUAUUUUUCACGAGAGAUUAUAGAGUUUGGAAUCAAGCGGUCAAAAUGACCGUUUACAGCAAUUCCAGUGUUGUGUUGUGACAAAAAGAUUCAUUUAUUCAAAAAUUUUCUUCAUUCUACUCAUACUUAUUAGCUUACAAGAGAACAAAAUUACACACUUGGAGCCCUCUGGUGUGAGCAAUAGAGGAGCAAAACAAGUGUAAAAGUGAUUUGCAUUGUCCAGUUUUUCUAGACAAUGAGCAUUUAUAUUCAGUUUGACUUGAAAGACCAUGAGUUAUAUAGUGCUUAUAAAUGUAAAAACAGUAAUUUCUUCAAUUUCAAAUAAUUGAGUGAACCUUACACAACCGAUGGAGUCCCUC
ensembl:lncRNA